rnacentral:snRNA from 1 species
AAAACUUUUCCAAAAGAAAAAAAUCUGUUCAAUAUCUGAUAUGUCCCCCAUCGGGGGACUACAUAUUAAAUGGAUUUUUCGAACAGGGAGUCGGAAAUGGGGCUUGCUCCAUCCGCUCCACGCAUCGACCCGGUAUUGCAGUACCUCCGGGAACGGUGCAACACUU